GCAAAAUGAAAAUAUUUUUUACAGAAAGUCUGUCCCAGCGCACGUGCUUGUGGAUCACUUUGCACCACAGUCCCACCCUAAUCCCCCUGCCUUGGAUGUCCCCAUCAUAGCUAGGAGCUGCUGCUGACUGAAAAUGAAGUUGUCUCAUUUCACUGAGCACACUUAUUUUCUAAGGUGUGACUAAGAGCCUUUCAGUUAGGUGUCAGCAAAUGCUAUUUGCUAGAAAUAAAAUCAACAUUAACUAGUUCUGCUUUUUUUUUAGUAAUUUUUUGUCUUUUUCUGCUCCAGAUCAUGAGUGAGGCAUACAGAGAGCAGAGCCCAGAGAAGCUGAUCCUGGCUGUGUAAGAGGACCUGCUUCUUGCAGCAAGGGCUUCACCAAGGAGUUGGUCACUAACAAGCAUGAUCCUGACCUCAUCUUACUCUUCUUCUGUCUGGGUCAACAAAGAUCAAGCUGCAUCAACGUUUACCCCUAGGAAAGCAUGGCAGUGCUCUUUUACAAUACAUGAAAUUGCAGUAAUAACCAUAAAGAGUAAUACUCAGCAUCUGACAGGAUGACUGAUGUAAGCUAUCAGCCAAUAUUUGACUUUCCAGCCUUGUGCAGGCUGGAGGCUACUUCAAGUUUAAGAUAUCUCUGCUCCUUUUGAGAGUAUCAUCAUAUUAUCCAGUGAAGUUUUAAAAUCGUGAGUGCUAUCGUGAAUUUCGUUAGAGAAGGGCACAAGAAAGGUAAGUU
rnacentral:lncRNA from 1 species